AUCGGCUUCUCUAACCACUCCUAUGAGAAUGUUAAUAUGCAUCAUCAUUACAUGUGUACUCUUGAUAUCGUCUCAUUAUACUAUGUAAUAUAACAUUGUAGCUAGAAUACAGUAAUAGGGGAUCCUGUGACUCAGGUGAGCAUUGCGUGGAACUCUGGUUCUGCCUGUGGGCACAGUGGCCUCCAUGCUCCCCUAGAGCCAGCUAAGCUCUGGAGGAACAGUCCUCAGAAUCACAAGAGAAGGGAACUGGCAGGCCUGGUUAACACACCGACACAGAGCAGACAAAUACUAUGUUACAAGGGAUUCCACUUGUCACUGCUGGGAAAUGUCAUAUCCGUUGUCAAUGACAGUUCUGGCGCCUGUUCACCUACCCCUCUUGAGUUUUAUGGUUACUUCUGUAGGAUGAAUUCAAAACUGUAGGAACGUAUAAGGGGGCUAAAAUACUCUCAUGCAAGUCUCCAACCCAUAAACUAUGCUGCUAUUAAUUAAAACAAAGGAAUUAUUAAUUAAAAAAAAGAUAAAAGGACAGCUGGGUUAGUUUUGUUAAGCUUCCAAAAGUAUUCGCUGUGAUGACGUUCUUCUGUAACAGGCUCGUUUUCUCAGAUCUGCCUACACUUUCCAAAUCACCUGCACGUUCCAUGCUUGAAAGUAGGAACGCUCAGAAACACGCCACACAGGGAAACCAAACGUUAGUACAGGGAAAAGGUCAGUUGAGAAUUACAGCUAAAUUCAAAUGUUAAUUUUUUGGAAAUUCGGAUUAGUUAUUUGAAAGCACAAAAAACAGAAGGAAGGUUUUGAUGAGGAAGUUAUUUAAACCAUGCAUUUCAGUAAGUUCUUUCUGCUCACAGAACAGGUGAGCAGCUGAGUUGGAGCAGCCGCUCCAACUCUUGUGUCGUGUGAUGACAAUGUGGGUCCCAGCUGAGCCACAAGAGGUGUAUCAGUGGGGCUUUAUCGCUUAGGCUUUUUGCUUGCAUCACUAAGCAGCUACGUGGUCAGCGCUUUUCUG
ensembl:lncRNA